GACGAACGCUGGCGGCGUGCUUAACACAUGCAAGUCGAACGGAAAGGCCCUGCUUUUGUGGGGUGCUCGAGUGGCGAACGGGUGAGUAACACGUGAGUAACCUGCCCUGGACUUUGGGAUAACUUCAGGAAACUGGUGCUAAUACCGGAUAGGAGCUCCUGCUGCAUGGUGGGGGUUGGAAAGUUUCGGCGGUUGGGGAUGGACUCGCGGCUUAUCAGCUUGUUGGUGGGGUAGUGGCUUACCAAGGCUUUGACGGGUAGCCGGCCUGAGAGGGUGACCGGCGACAAUGGGCCUGCGAUACGGCCCAGACUCCUACGGGAGGCAGCAGUGGGGAGUCUUGCACAAUGGGCGGAAGCCUGAUGCAGCAACGCCGCGUGCGGGAUGACGGCCUUCGGGUUGUAAACCGCUUUCGCCUGUGACGAAGCGUGAGUGACGGUAAUGGGUAAAGAAGCACCGGCUAACUACGUG
rnacentral:rRNA from 1 species